CAGGUGUCUGCCACUGCAACUGACAUUGAGACAACUCUUAGUCUUCCUGCAAGUCCUCGCCUGAUACCUGGCGCUUCAUUGAUAUAAAUCCAGAGAGAGGGACAAAUGCCAAAAUCAUCAGGCAAGGUUGUCUCUAAGAAGAAAGGUGUGAUGGUCUAGAAGUCGUCUUCUGCAGUCAAUUACACACGUGGCCAUGCUACUGAAGAAUCUCCUUGACUUUUUAAUGGAACUUCAUAUAGAUCCUGGCAGCACUGGAAUAAUGCUGCAGAAGAACAGCGGCUAACAAAGUGAUGAUUAUCUCUUCUGGAUCCACAAGAACUAAGAUGUAAAAACACAAGCCUACCUCACAGGACAAUUUUAAGAGGUAACCUGCAAGUCUAGCUUGCAGUGGAACAGGUGCCUACCCUACGGUUUCAUCCUAAAUGUUUUUUUUUUAUGCUUAUUAUUGAUACAUCCUGACAAAAUGUUCUACUGUACUAUAAUAGUUUCAAAAUGGUCUUGGGUAUGUUUUUAAG